rnacentral:rRNA from 1 species
UACGAAGGGGGGCUAGCGUUGCUCGGAAUCACUGGGCGUAAAGGGUGCGUAGGCGGGUUUUUAAGUCAGGGGUGAAAUCCUGGAGCUCAACUCCAGAACUGCCUUUGAUACUGAAGAUCUCGAGUCCGGGAGAGGUGAGUGGAACUGCGAGUGUAGAGGUGAAAUUCGUAGAUAUUCGCAAGAACACCAGUGGCGAAGGCGGCUCACUGGCCCGAUACUGACGCUGAGGCACGAAAGCGUGGGGAGCAAACAGG